CCCUCCUCAUUUAUCAGUCAUUGGGCAUCUCUUAUAAAAGGGGUGAGCAUCAGUUGAUGCAAAACAAUUAAUCACCCCAUGAUUCAACUUGGAAAAGUAGCUUGCUAAAAAAAGUUUUGGAAUUUGGAAUGGAACAACCGAGUGGCUCGUUAAACGUUAUAGAUCACAUGGAGGACGAGGAAGUCAUUUGGCUAUUAAAUAUGAGGGAAAGGGAGGAAAAUCUUGAGUAUCUAGAAGCGCCGGACCAACCACUCAUAUUAAUUGAAAGCAAAACCAAUGAUGAGAUUUAAGAAGCUCCCGAAAAUUGGUGGAUUGAUUCUAAGGUCGACGGCAACAUCCAACCGAAGUCAACCGAGGACUUCAAUCCUCUUGCGAAGCCACACCCGAACAAGUAUUCCUUCAAAUGUGCUAUAGCGGCCUACAUGAUCCCCAUUUUACUCGAUUUUGAGAAAGGAGUGAUGAGCGGGGCAUGCUAUACGUAAAGAGGGAGUUGAAGAUAACCGACGUGUAGGCUGACGUCUUUACAGGGAUCCUCAACGUGUUCUCGCCCCUCGAGUCGGCAAUUGCGGGUCGAAUCUAUGACAGGAUUGGCCGCCGUUACACGAUCCUAUUGGCAAGGGCCACGAUCCUGUUGGCAAGGGCCAUUUUCUUCUUCCCGCCCAUCCUCAUGGGCUUCGCCCAUGACUACACCUUCCUUGUAUUGGGCCCUGCCGUUGCUAACAUCGACGUUGACUACACCCUCAUGAUCGCCCCUAUUUACAUCGCAGAGUUCAAGUGUUCAUCAAUGUCAGCACCCUCGUUGGCUACAUCUCCAUCUAAGCUUUCUCAAAGCUCCAUUUCAACCUCGGGUGGCGUGUCAAGCUUAGCAUGGGAGCAAUCUCCUUGGUCCUGCUCUUCAUCGGAGUCCUUGUCAAGUCGGAAUCCCCAGUAGCUCAUCAUUGAGGUCUCCUCUGCCUUCUCCCGUGGCUUCUUUACCUCCUUCCCUAAGGUGUUCAUCAAUGUCGGCACCAUGUUGGCUACAUAUCCAUCUACACCUUCUCAAAGCUCCAUUUCAACCUCGGGUGGCGUGUCAAGCUCAGCAUGGGAGCAAUCUCUUUGGUCCUGGUCGUCAUCGGGAUCCUUGUCAAGUCACAAUCCCUGGUGGCUCAUCAUGCAAGGCUGCCUAGGCGACGCAAAUCACUCCCUCGCCAGGACCUCCGAUUCGAAGAAGGAGGCCGCACUCCGGCUCGCCAAUAUCAAUGAGGCUGCCGACAUCCCAAAGGAGUGCAACGAGGAUGUUGUCAAGAUCAUCAAGCAAAGCGUCGGAGAGGGCAUGUGGCCGGAGGACAUAUGGCGGAAUCUCCUUCUCCAACUAAUCUGUCCAUCCGCCACAUGCUCAAUUGGAUCGUUGGGAUCCACUUCUUGCAUCAAGCAUGUGGCAUCGACACCAUCCUCUAAAUCGUGGUCCUCCAUGUACUCCAUGACGUUUAAUAA